UAACGAAUAUUCCGCAAUGCGCGAAAGCGUGACGGAGCAAUGCCGCGUGCAGGAUGAAGCCCCUCGGGGUGUAAACUGCUGUCAGGGUUUAGGAACACAAUGACCAGACCCAAAGGAAGGACCGGCUAACUCUGUGCCAGCAGCCGCGGUAAUACAGAGGGUCCAAGCGUUGAUCGGAAUCACUGGGCUUAAAGAGUCUGUAGGCGGAUUGGCAAGUAUCUUGUGAAAUCCCACGGCUUAACCGUGGAAUGGCUUGGUAGACUGCCAGUCUUGAGCCCGUCAGGGGUCAUCGGAACUCUAGGUGGAGCGGUGAAAUGCGUAGAUAUCUAGAGGAACGCCAAAGGUGAAGACAGAUGACUGGGACGGCGCUGACGCUGAGAGACGAAAGCAUGGGUAGCGAACGGGAUUAGAUACCCCCGUAGUCC
rnacentral:rRNA from 1 species